CCAGCACCUGCGGUAAUUCCAGCUCCAAUAGCGUAUAUUAAAGUUGUUGCAGUUAAAAAGCUCGUAGUUGGAUUUGUGGGUGUUACUGAGGUCCCAAUUUUUUGGGUACUAUCGGUGACGGCCAUCCUUGGGUGGAAGCUGUGUGGCAUUAGGUUGUCGUGCAGUGGAUGCCCACCGUUUACUGUGAAAAAAUUAGAGUGUUCAAAGCAGGCUUAUGCCGUUGAAUAUAUUAGCAUGGAAUAAUGAGAUAGGACCUUGGUACUAUUUUGUUGGUUUGCGCACCGAGGUAAUGAUUAAUAGGGACAGUUGGGGGUAUUCGUAUUCCAUUGUCAGAGGUGAAAUUCUUGGAUUUCUGGAAGACGAACCACUGCGAAAGCAUUUACCAAGGAUGUUUUCAUUA
rnacentral:rRNA from 1 species